GUGGGGAAUCUUGCGCAAUGGGCGAAAGCCUGACGCAGCCAUGCCGCGUGAAUGAUGAAGGUCUUAGGAUUGUAAAAUUCUUUCACCGGGGACGAUAAUGACGGUACCCGGAGAAGAAGCCCCGGCUAACUUCGUGCCAGCAGCCGCGGUAAUACGAAGGGGGCUAGCGUUGCUCGGAAUUACUGGGCGUAAAGGGCGCGUAGGCGGACAGCUUAGUCAGAGGUGAAAGCACAGGGCUCAACCUUGGAAUUGCCUUUGAUACUGGCUGUCUUGAGUUUGGGAGAGGUGAGUGGAACUCCGAGUGUAGAGGUGAAAUUCGUAGAUAUUCGGAAGAACACCAGUGGCGAAGGCGACUCACUGGCCCAAUACUGACGCUGAGGCGCGAAAGCGUGGGGAGCAAACAGGAUUAGAAACCCUUGUAGUCC
rnacentral:rRNA from 1 species